CAGCAGCUAGCAAAAGAGGAGCAGAGACGGCAAGAAUAAUGGCAUCCAAAACAGCGCUCAUGACUGUGCUUUUGCUCGUCCUUGUGACCGGCGAUCUCGUCCAUGGCCACGCCCUCAUGGCCGGCGAUCUCGCCCAUGGCCACGCCGUGCCGCUGGGACGACACACCCGGCCAAGCCUCGGCUGGAUGCAAGGCAUGAAGGGAGGGCCGCCUAGUGGCAUGCAGCUAUCAGAUACUGCUGCUGCGGCCCGCCGCCGCGCUAUUUCUUCGAUGCAAAAAGGUUGAGGACUCUGCAUCACUGCGUUGAUAAUUUUCUGGUGGUACAAAAAGGGUCACACAAAGAGAAGCAGGCAGAGGAAAGCAUUGGUAACUAAUCUACCUAUAAUUGUCAGUUCCCUGAUGCGGAUAUUCUUGAAUGUACCCUUAUGCUGAUGUUUUUACACAUAUUGUAUCAGGCGAGGAAAGGCGGCGCCGCGACGCCAGCAGGGAGGAAGGCAAGUUCAUCGCGCCCGUGCCUAGUUUCAAGCUCCCGCCCCUUCCUCCCAACGCUCCCUGAGAAGAGAUCACAUCACAGGGUGAGCAUGCAUGCAUGCCGUGGGAUUGACCAUCACUAGGUCUGUCAGCAAAGGUGUGGGGGUGUUCAAGGAUGAUUUAUAUAUAUUGUUCAUUCAAUUAGUAAGGCAGCAUCGUCUGCUAUGUUUAAGUUACUAAGUAUGAUGCCAUCUUCGUUCAGUAACUGUAAGGUUGCAGUAUCAGGUGUAAUAAUGGGAGAAAACAGCGACCAUAUUCAGAAUGAAAUAGCUCAGUUCUUGAGAGAGCGUGGGUGUGAUGAGCUGUUGUCUGUUGAUAAGGGA
rnacentral:lncRNA from 1 species